rnacentral:rRNA from 1 species
AGAUUGAACGCUGGCGGCAUGCCUAACACAUGCAAGUCGAACGGGAGUAGCAAUACUCUAGUGGCGGACGGGUGAGGAAUACGUAGGAAUUUGCCCUUAAGUGGGGGAUAACCCGGGGAAACCCGGAUUAAUACCGCAUGACCUCGAAAGAGCAAAGUGGGGGAUCGCAAGACCUCACGCUUUUGGAGAAGCCUACGUCGGAUUAGCUAGUUGGUGAGGUAAUGGCUCACCAAGGCGACGAUCCGUAACUGGUCUGAGAGGAUGAUCAGUCACACCGGAACUGAGACACGGUCCGGACUCCUACGGGAGGCAGCAGUGGGAAUAUUGGACAAUGGGCGCAAAGCCCUGGACUCCAAGCAAUGACCGCGUGUGUAGAAGAAGGCCUCGGUUGGUAAAGCGUACUUAAGUUAGGGAAGUAAAAACUACGUACUACUAACC